rnacentral:rRNA from 1 species
GGCCGCGGGAAUUCGAUUAGAGUUUGAUCCUGGCUCAGGAUGAACGCUGGCGGCGUGCUUAACACAUGCAAGUCGAACGAGGUCCAACCUUCGGGUGAAGACCGAGUGGCGAACGGGUGAGUAACACGUGGGGAACCUGCCCUUCUCUCUGGGAUAACUCCGGGAAACCGGAGCUAAUACCGGAUACUCCUUGCGGACCGCAUGGUCUGCUCGGGAAAGCUCCGGCGGAGAAGGAUGGCCCCGCGGCCCAUUAGCUUGUUGGUGGGGUAACGGCCCACCAAGGCGACGAUGGGUAGCCGAGCUGAGAGGCUGAUCGGCCACACUGGGACUGAGACACGGCCCAGACUCCUACGGGAGGCAGCAGUGGGGAAUCUUGCGCAAUGGGCGAAAGCCUGACGCAGCAACGCCGCGUGCGGGAUGAAGGCUCUCGGGUCGUAAACCGCUUUCAGCAGGGAUGAAAAUGACAGUACCUGCAGAAGAAGCCCCGGCUAAAUACGUGCCAGCAGCCGCGGUAAUACGUAUGGGGCAAGCGUUAUCCGGAUUCAUUGGGCGUAAAGCGCGCGUAGGCGGCUUGUUAAGUCAGGCGUGAAAUCCGGGGGCUCAACCCGCGGCUUGCGUCUGAAACUGGCAGGCUUGAGUCUGGUAGAGGAAAGUGGAAUUCCUGGUGUAGCGGUGAAAUGCGCAGAUAUCAGGAGGAACACCAGUGGC